ACCUGGGAGAAGUCCCUUGGAAAAGGGCAGCAAAGAGGGUGAUACUCCCGUCUCUGCUCAGGUUGUCUGUGUGUACGAUACGCUUUCUUUGAGUCGAGUUGUUUGGGAAUACAGCUCAAAGUAGGUGGUAAAUUCCAUCUAAAGCUAAAUAUUGGUGCGAGACCGAUAGCGAACAAGUACCGUGAGGGAAAGAUGAAAAGAACUUUGAAAAGAGAGUUAAAGAGUACCUGAAACUGUUGAAAGGGAACCGUAUCGUUUCCAGUGUUGUAUCCUGUGCAUAUUUCAUUAGCGGAGUAAUUUGCUGGUGCCCUGUGCACGGGUGUGACGUCAGAGUCAGUUUGUAUGCCGCGGGAGAUGGUUAGUGAGGAGGUGAUUCAUUUCGGUGAAAGUUAUACCUUGCUAUCUAGUUGCCGUGGUUGAGACUGAGGUGCCUACAAUAUGCUCUGGGGUUCAGUGCCGUCUUGUUUUGGCGACUACUUGGAUAGCUUGCUAUGUCUGUGGUUAAUCAGGGCAAUUGAUGGUAUUGAAAACCUCUGCUGUUCGGGACUCUGGCGAAAUGGAGCGAUACGACCCGUCUUGAAACACGGACCAAGGAGUCUAACAUGUGUGCAAGUAUUAGGGCGUGGAAACCCAAAUGCGUAAUGAAAGUAAAUGAUGCUUAUGCAUCUGUGGUAGGAAAGGGCUGUAAUGGUCCUGGCACUAUCGACCGAUCAUGAACCUACGGGUGAAAGAUUUGAGUAUGAGCAUAUAUGUUGGUACCCGAAAGAUGGUGAACUAUGCCUGAAUAGGGUGAAGCCAGGGGAAACUCUGGUGGAAGCUCGUAGCGAUUCUGACGUGCAAAUCGAUCGUCAAAUUUGGGUAUAGGGGCGAAAGACUAAUCGAACCAUCUAGUAGCUGGUUCCCUCCGAAAUUUCCCUCAGGAUAGCAGCAACUUUUUACGAUAGUUUUAUGAGGUAAAGCGAAUGAUUAGAGGCCUCGGGGAAGAAACUUCCUCG
rnacentral:rRNA from 1 species